rnacentral:rRNA from 1 species
AGGAUCAUUGCACACACAAAGUUGCAGCAAACCCCCUUUGCGAAUUUCAUGAAUGUCCCCCUUGUGUUUUGGGGGGCCUGGGGCAUCAAUCAUCGUUGUCACUACUACUCGUGGUGCUGGUGGCGGUGGUGGUGUCCCGGCCUGCCAAACACAUCCAAGUCCCCCCCUCACCAUGAGGGAGGCUUGGGGCUCCGCCCCUUGUCCCCCCUUUGAGGGUGGGACUUGGUAACCAACCGAUUGCGCAAUGCAUCAACACUUUCAAUAUGACUGAGUAUAAAAAUCGGGACACUGCCGCUUGCAAAGGUGGCGGUGUCCCCGAGUUGUGAUAAACAAAAACAACUCUCAGCAACGGAUAUCUUGGCUCUUGCAACGAUGAAGAACGCAGCGAAAUGCGAUACGUAGUGUGAAUUGCAGAAUUCCGCGAAUCAUCGAGUCUUUGAACGCAAGUUGCGCCCGAGGCUUGACCAAGGGCAUCUCUGCCAGAGCGUCACCGCGACACCCACCAAUCCACUCUAAGUGAGUGGAUUGAGUGAAACUGGCCAUCCGAAUGCGGCCACCCGGGGAGGGAAACCUUCCUGGGUGGCAGAUUGGGUUGGCUGAAAUGGAGGGAAUUUGGCCGCCGUGGUGACACAGCCCGCGAUCAGGUGAUCCAGGUGUUCAAAAACCUGGAACUCAAACGUGCGCGUUGCUCGUGGCACCACCCAGACCGGACUCCAAAGCAGGUCCCUACCGACACUCCGGCCGUAAAAGCCGGACCGUGGAGGAAGGAAAUACGUC